CGUAAAAUAUUAACCUACACCCAUCAACGCCAGGGUAUUACGAGCCCUAGCUUAAAACCCAAAGGACUUGACGGUGUCCCAUCCAACUAGAGGAGCCUGUUCUAUAAUCGAUAACCCCCGAUAUACCUAACCCCCCCUUGCCAAUCAGCCUGUAUACCUCCGUCGCAAGCUUACCAUAUGAAUGCCCACAGUAAGUUUAAAGGUCACAACACCUACACGUCAGGUCAAGGUGCAGCUAAUGGCGGGGCAAGCAAUGGGCUACAAUUUCUAAUUUAGAACACACGAAAUGCUUCAUGAAAUAACCACGAAGGCGGAUUUAGCAGUAAAAAGGAAAUAAAGCGUCCUUUUUAACAAGGCCCUGGGACGUGUACACACCGCCCGUCACCCUCUGCAGUCAAA
rnacentral:rRNA from 1 species